AUUGAACGCUGGCGGCAGGCUUAACACAUGCAAGUCGAGCGGAGUGAUGGUGCUUGCACCAUCACUUCGCGGCGAACGGGUGAGUAAUGCCUAGGAAUCUGCCCAUUAGCGGGGGACAACGUGUGGAAACGCACGCUAAUACCGCAUACGCCCUCCGGGGGAAAGCUGGGGACUCUUUGAGCCUUGCACUAAUGGAUGAGCCUAGGUCAGAUUAGCUGGUUGGUGGGGUAAAGGCCUACCAAGGCGACGAUCUGUAGCGGGUCUGAGAGGAUGAUCCGCACACUGGAGGUGAGACACGGUCCAGACUCCUACGGGAGGCAGCAGUGGGGAAUAUUGGACAAUGGGCGCAAGCCUGAUCCAGCCAUGCCGCGUGUGUGAAGAAGGCCUUUUGGUUGGAAAGCACUUUAAGCGAGGAGGAGGCUUACCUGGUUAAUACCUGGGAUAAGGGGACGUUACUCGCAGAAUAAGCACCGGCUAACUCUGUG
rnacentral:rRNA from 1 species